GACGAACGCUGGCGGCGUGCUUAACACAUGCAAGUCGAACGGUGAAGCGCCUUCCUUUUUGGUGGGUGUGGAUGAGUGGCGAACGGGUGAGUAACACGUGAGUAACCUGCCCCCUUCUUCUGGAUAACCGCAUGAAAGUGUGGCUAAUACGGGAUAUUCUGGGUCUGUCGCAUGAUGGGUCUGGGAAAGAUAUUGUUUCGGUGGGGGAUGGGCUCGCGGCCUAUCAGCUUGUUGGUGGGGUGAUGGCCUACCAAGGCGGUGACGGGUAGCCGGCCUGAGAGGGUGGACGGUCACACUGGGACUGAGACACGGCCCAGACUCCUACGGGAGGCAGCAGUGGGGAAUAUUGAAGAAUGGGCGCAAGCCUGAUGCAGCGACGCCGCGUGAGGGAUGGAGGCCUUCGGGUUGUGAACCUCUUUCGCCAGUGAAGCAGGCCUGCCUCGUUUGUGGGUGGGUUGACGGUAGCUGGAUAAGAAGCGCCGGCUAACUACGUG
rnacentral:rRNA from 1 species